UGUCUAGUAACUCCUAUCCCUACCUCCUCAUGGUGCAGCCUGGGGUACGAGUAACCAUAGGAAAGAUCGAGUAACCAACCCCGGUGGGACCUUGGUCAAAUGCUAACAGGGAAGG
rnacentral:ribozyme from 1 species